AACGAACGCUGGCGGCAUGCCUAACACAUGCAAGUCGAACGAGACCUUCGGGUCUAGUGGCGCACGGGUGCGUAACGCGUGGGAACCUGCCCUUAGGUUCGGAAUAACUCCCCGAAAGGGGUGCUAAUACCGGAUAAUGUCUUCGGACCAAAGAUUUAUCGCCUUUGGAUGGGCCCGCGUUGGAUUAGCUAGUUGGUAGGGUAAAAGCCUACCAAGGCGACGAUCCAUAGCUGGUCUGAGAGGAUGAUCAGCCACACUGGGACUGAGACACGGCCCAGACUCCUACGGGAGGCAGCAGUGGGGAAUAUUGGACAAUGGGCGAAAGCCUGAACCAGCAAUGCCGCGUGAGUGAUGAAGGCCUUAGGGUUGUAAAGCUCUUUUACCCGGGAUGAUAAUGACAGUACCGGGAGAAUAAGCUCCGACUAACUCCGUG
rnacentral:rRNA from 1 species